UUCAAAUCUUAUCUCUAAUCAAGCAAAGAAUGAAGACGGGAUUUAUGAGCUGAGAAAGGGUGAUUUCUCAAUUAAGGUGACCAAUUUUGGAGCAACCCUGCUUCCCGUUGUUCUCCCAGAUAAAAAUGGAAAAUUAGAGGACGUUGUUCUUGCAUUUGAUCCAGUUGAUGAGUACAAGGUGGCCCUGAAGGUUUUAGUGAGGUUGUCUGGGAUGUAGCUAGUCAUAACGAUAAACAUAUAACAUUCACGUACAACAGCUUUGAUGGAGAGGAAGGU